rnacentral:sRNA from 1 species
GCCCGGUGUGGUGGUGCAUGCCUGUAAUCCCAGUUUUUUGGGAGGCUGAGGUAGGAGGAUUUUGAGUUCAAAGCUAGCCUCAGCAAUUUAUCAAGGUACCAAGCAACUUAGCAAAACCCUGUCUCUA